AUGGUGGUCAUCUUCUCCGUCGCAGGUGGCCGGCCAGAGGCUGGGUGGUCGGAUCUCGAGAUCCGUUAUCUAGUCCCGGCUGCGAGUUGGAGAGUCAGAGUUGCCGGUGAAAACCGAGCCGAUGGCAGGCGAUGGCGGCGUUCUGCGAUCGUUACCUUGAUGAAGGCUUCGUUGUGUAACUGUUGUCGACCCACUUGUGCUGCUCCGGAGGAAACCCUAGGAUCUGGUUCUCCAGAUCGGACGAUGGCGGCACUGCGGUGUCGUUCCUCUUUUGGGAGCAUCGUUUGUGAAGCAGCGUUGGAAGUCAGAGGUAGGAGGUGGAGCGACUUCGUCUUGCACGGAGUUCAGUGGAGAUGUCAAGUCAUGCCUGGCCGACACGUGCUACACUUUGUCAUGUCUGGUCGGCAGGUGCUACGCACGACAACAAAGACUUCAAGUUGUGUCGGCUGGUGGUACUUGGCGGUAUGGUGCUGA
rnacentral:rRNA from 1 species